rnacentral:rRNA from 1 species
UACGUAGGGUGCAAGCGUUAAUCGGAAUUACUGGGCGUAAAGCGUGCGCAGGCGGUUAUGUAAGACAGUUGUGAAAUCCCCGGGCUCAACCUGGGAACUGCAUCUGUGACUGCAUAGCUAGAGUACGGUAGAGGGGGAUGGAAUUCCGCGUGUAGCAGUGAAAUGCGUAGAUAUGCGGAGGAACACCGAUGGCGAAGGCAAUCCCCCUGGACCUGUACUGACGCUCAUGCACGAAAGCGUGGGGGAGCAAACGAGG